ensembl:lncRNA
UAGGGGACAGACUGUAGGGCAUUGGGGAUAGGCUGUAGGGUGUAGGGGACAGACUGUAGGGCAUGGGGAUAGGCUGUAGGGUGUAGGGGACAGACUGUAGGGCAUUGGGGAUAGGCUGUAGGGUGUAGGGGACAGACUGUUGGGCACGGUGGAUAGGCUGUAGGGUGUAGGGGACAGACUGUAGGGCAUGAGGAUAGGCUGUAGGAUGUAGGGGAUAGGCUGCAGAGCAUAAGGUGUAGGGCAUAGGGUUUGGAAAGUCGGCUGUAGGGUGUCGGGGAUAGGUUGUAGGGUUUAGGGAAUAGGCUGUAGGGUGUAGUGGAUGGGGAUAAAGGAUGCGGUAGAGGACAAGGGGGGUAAAGGUAUAAGGUCUAGGGGAUUAUGGAUAGGGUGGAGGGGACAAAGAGUAAGGAUAAGGACGGUGUGUGUGUGUGUGUGUGUGUGUGUGUGUGUGUGUGUGUGUCAGGACAUUAUUGAUGGUGCUUUUAGCAAUAAUGAUUUUACAUGAUUGUUUAUAUGAUAUAAAGUAUGUAAUACAGUGGUAUGUAUAUGUUAUAUUUGUGUAUCUUAUUCUGUGUGUGUGUGUGUGCGUGUGUGUGUGUGUGUGUGCGCGCGUGUGCGUGUGUGUGUAUGGACGGAGGCUAAUGAUUUGUCCUGUUUACUCUGGGCUCGGUGCAGCGAUACACACGCAGGAGGAAAUGGAUUCUAACCCAUCUCACUGAUCUCUUAUAUUAAACAGCUCAGCUUUCACUUAAAGUAAAUCUAGAUCCUCGUGUGUGUGUGUGUGUGUGUGUGUGUGUGUGUGUGUGUGUGUGUCUCAAGAGCCUCUGCAUUAUCGGCUCAUCGCUUUCUCAGAGUACUCUGGGUAAACAGAGGCCUUGUUUUUGUGUGUGUGUGUGUGUGUGUGUGUGUGUGUGUGUAAGUAACAUUGGGACUGUAGCAGUGGAUUAGAGGAUUAGACUAUAAUCCUGUUAUAAACACUAAAUCACACUUUGUGUCUGUGAACUCUGCAUUAUUUACUCUACUGCUUAAAUACAGUAAUGAUACACUCUUCCUUUUCUUCACCUCCCUUUCCUUUCCUUUCCAUCUAUCACUUUAUCUAUCGCUCUAUCUAUCGGUUUCAUUUCUUAUUCUUCAUUUCUCUCCUUACAUUUCUCUUCUGCUUUGUUUGUUUUUCUUUCUCCUCCGACUCUCUCUCUCUUUUCUUAUAUUAUUCAUCAUUCAUUUUUUGUUUUCCUUUUUUAUUUCUCACAUAUUUAUUUAUUUAAAGCCUUUCCUGUAUUUUCUGUUUAUCUCUUCAUGAAUCCCCCGCUUUAAUUCCUCCUCCUUGUUUGAUUUCUGUCAUUCAUUUGUUCAUUUUUAAAAAAUAGUUUUUCAAAUUUUGAUAUUUUUUCCCCCGCCGUACGCUUUCAUCUUCAGUUUCUUUCUCGGUGUUCCCUGAUGUUUUGCUUCCCUACAGUUCUUUCUUUCUUUUCCUUUCUUUCCUUCGUUCCAUCUUACUUUCAUUCCAUCCUUCCUUCCCUCCAAUCCAAUUAUCCUAUUAUGAACGCUCCCCUUUUGUAUUCCUCCUUUUUCUUCUCUCUCUCUCUCAUUAUUUUUUCUUACUUUGCUGUAGCUUCCUUUCUUCCUUUCCUUCUGUUUCUAUUUAUUCCCACCCUUCCUUUCUUGUCAUUCCCUUAAUUGUUUGCUUCCUUCUUUGUUCUUUCUUUGUUUCUUGCUUCUUCUCAUGUUCCUUUCUGUACAUCUCCCCCUGUUAUUCUGUUCUUUUGCACACGUUUUGUACGUGUGAACGCCGCGCGUGUGCGUGUGAGAGGAGGCGACUCGUCUCCUCUUUAUUAGGGAUUAACAGAUUGACGUCGUUCCUGUCGUUUAUCAUUCUCUCUGAUGCGAGUCCUCCUCUAACACACUCUGACCUGUGAAAGCCAUAAAUGGGUUUAUAAGGUUUCUCACACACACACCUACACACACACAUACACACACGCGCACACACACACCUACACACAUACACACACACACACACACACAGGAAAAUGCUUAAAGCAUUACAGUAUGUCAUAACAGAAAGAUCAGCCAGCGGCUAUUUAUGUUAGCUUCAUAACGAGCGCCAUUAAUGGCUGGCUUUAGCCGUAAACACUCGAGAGGGACGUACAAACAUCCCGGAGAGAGAGAGAAAGGGCGCGACAGAGAGAGAAAGAGAAAGAGAGAGAGAGAGAGAGAGCAGCUGUCUUUAUGCUAGUCAUCUCAUUUUUCCUCUUCAUCCACCUGGAGACUUGAGAAGUAAACAUGGAUUAUCGUGUAGACAUUAGCUAGCGUGCUAACUCCUACUGUGUGUGUACGUUUGUGUGUCUGUGGAUCGUCAAGCGAGUUAGCAAGCGAGUGUGUGUGUGUGUGUGUGUGUGUGGGUGUGUGUGUGUGGAUCAUCAUAUAUUUGCAUGCAAACACUCAUUUUGUGUGAUUACCAGACAGCGUGUUAGCUACCACAAAUCUCUGGAAUACUUUGUGUGUGUGUGGGGGGGGGGGGGGGGGGGGGGAUUAAACUAUGCGGUAAUGAAAACACAGCACAAUGUGUGUGUGAGUAUAUACAGCACGGUGGCAGGAAACAGAAACAGAGUGUCAAACCACAUCGUAAUAACAGCUUCUGAACAGCUGAUGAUGUCCAUAUGUUAGUGCGUGCAUGUGUGCACGAGUCAAGUGUCAUUCGUGAACGAGUCAACUCUCCGAGGUGAUUCGACUCUUACAGGUGAUUCCGUUACCUGGAAUACACCAUGUGAAGGUUUGUCUGAAAGUUCAUCAGUAGUUACUCACAUUCAGUGCAACUGUGAUCGAGAGGGGAAAAGAAAAAAAAAAAGAAGAAAAGAAUCACCUAAAAGAGUCGGAUAAGCUCAAAGAGUCGACUCGUUCAUGACUCCCUGAGGUGGUGAUUCAUUUAACUGCAGUAGAUCCUGCGAUGGUCUGACUGAAACGUGUAUGUGAUCGAGUCAAAUCGUUGCAGUGAUUCGAUGCGCUUAGGUCAAUUUACAGGAUCUUUUACAGUAAAAGCGUCAAAAGAGUCGAAUCUAUUCAAAGCAUCAGGAAGGAGUUGAUCGUUUUUAGCUCUGUGAGGCGAUUCUUUUCAUUAGAUUAAAACUGUAUGUGAUUACUGACGUUAGAGAAUUACCUUUCAUGUUACAUAAACAUGAGUACUGAAUAGUCACAGGAUCAAUUGAAGGUAAAAGAAUCACUUUGAAGAAUGGAAUCAUUUCAGUGAUUUUCAACGAUUCAACUCGUUCAUGUUAGAGAAUUGUUAAUACAGAGUAUUUAAUAAUGAAUUUCUAUCCAAACCAUCACCGGUUCUGCGAUCAUCUAAAAGUCAACUCGUUCACAUUCGCGAUAAAUGAACUAUGUUGGAAUUUUCAACCGAAUCUUCACAGGAUCUAUUUCAGCUAAACGAUUCACAUAGUCAAAUAGUCAUGACUGAGAUAAAAGUCUGAUGUGAUUCGAUUCUUUAAGAGGAUUCUUUUUCCCCCCAAUCACAUUUGCGCUGUAUGUGAUUUACGACGUUAGAGAAUUACGAGUAAAGCAUAAUGAUUCGUUUUCAGCCGAUGAUCUAUUGCAGGUAAAAGAAUCACCUUAAAGAAGCUUUGACUCUCUCAGGUUUGACCAUCGUGAAUACAGAAUAAUGAUGAAUUUUCAGAGAAACCAUCACAUGGUAUCUUUUGCAUUUAAAAGAAUCACCUGAAAGAGUCAUGAACGAGUCAAACAUUUAGGGUGAUUCUUUUAACUCUUUAAGAUGAUUUUUUUUUCUGUCAUAGUUGUGCAUCUGAUUAAGGACAUAGAAUUGUGAAACUCAAACUGUCACCUCAAUCAUGACUCUUUGAGGUUAUUGGACUCUUUGAGGUUGUUUGACUCUGAGGGUAUUUGACUCUUUGAGGUUAUCGGACUCUGAGGUUAUUGGACUCUUUGAGGUUAUCGGUCUCUGAGGUUAUUGGACUCUUUGAGGUUAUCGGUCUCUGAGGUUAUUGGACUCUUUGAGGUUAUCG